rnacentral:misc_RNA from 1 species
UCUCCGUAGGUGAACCUGCGGAGGGAUCAUUACUGAGUGAGGGUCUCCGGGCCCGACCUCCAACCCUUUUGUGAACCACCUCGUUGCUUCGGGGGCGACCCUGCCUUCGGGCGGGGGCUCCGGGUGGACACUUCAAACUCUUGCGUAACUUUGCAGUCUGAGUAAACUUAAUUAAUAAAUUAAAACUUUUAACAACGGAUCUCUUGGUUCUGGCAUCGAUGAAGAACGCAGC